rnacentral:misc_RNA from 1 species
UCUGUGCUCGUGCUCGAACUGUCGACUGCCAUCGUCUUCAGUGUUUUUCCCCGAGCGCAUUCAUGCCUCGUGGGUGCUCUUGGUAUCCUGUGUUGCUUACCGACGCGAUGGAAUUCGAUUGUACCGUUGACCCUCUCCGCCUGAUGCCCUCUAUGGGGUAUGGGGUGGACGCCAGGCACGCUACGUGUUCCUCGCAUGCCUUGCUUUGUUGCGGGGCUGUUGAGGCCCACGGAGCUAUUGCCCGUUCUCUCGGAUGCGGAAUGUCAUGCGUGGGUGCGGGGUAUUCACCUCUGCUUGCCCAAGCUAUGCAUUUGUCCCUUGACACGAACGACUGUCGCGACCGUCUUGAUCCCGUUGUGGCCUACGUGCUGCACGGCGCUCAUGCGGUCGUCGGCGUCGUCGAGGAAUGCUACCUGGUUGAUCCUGCCAGUAGUCAUAUGCUUGUCUC